rnacentral:rRNA from 1 species
UACAGAGGUUUCGAGCGUUAAUCGGAAUUACUGGGCGUAAAGCGUGCGUAGACGGUUUCGUAAGUCGGGUGUGAAAUCCCCGGGCUCAACCUCGAGACGUCGGCGGAAACCAUCUGGCUAGAGUCCGGAAGAGGAGAAUGGAAUUCCCGGUGUAGCGGUGAAAUGCGCAGAUAUCGGGAAGAACACCCGUGGCGAAGGCGGUUCUCUGGGACGGUACUGACGCUGAGACGCGAAAGCGUGGGGAGCGAACAGG